rnacentral:rRNA from 1 species
CCUACGGGCGGCAGCAGUGAGGAAUAUUGGUCAAUGGGCGUAAGCCUGAACCAGCCAAGUCGCGUGAGGGAUGAAGGCUCUAUGGAUCGUAAACCUCUUUUAUAAGGGAAUAAAGUGCGGGACGUGUACCGUUUUGUCUGUACCUUUGAAUAAGGAUCGGCUAACUCCGUGCCAGCCGCCGCGGUAAUACGGAGGAUCCGAGCGUUUUCCGGAUUUAUUGGGUUUAAAGGGUGCGUAGGCGGCCUUUUACGUCAGCUGUGAAAGUCUGUGGCUCAACCAUAGAAUUGCCGUUGAUACUGGGAGGCUUGAGUAUGUAUGAGGCAGGCGGAAUGAGUGGAGUAGCGGUGAAAUGCUUAGAUAUAACGCAGAACCCCGAUUGCGAAGGCAGCCUGCCAAGCCAUGACUGACGCUGAUGCACGAAAGCGUGGGGAUCAAACAGGAUUAGAUACCCGAGUAGUC